GAUGAUCAUAUAACUUUUGACCUUGGCUCUCUUAAUAUGGUAUGUUAUAUUUAUUGAUUUAUUUAUGUUGAAUCACUCCAGAACCCCUGGGAUGAAUCACAUUUGAUCAUAAUGUGAAACUUUCUCGAUGAUUUGCUGUAUUCUCUUUGCCAGUGUCAUGGUUUAUGUCUGUGGCCCCCAGGCCUCAUGCAUUUGCAUUGUGCAUUUGUGAUUGGUUCAUUGUCUAGUGCUUGGAUUGAUGGUGUCAGUGUUACACCCACAUAGGGGUGGGAGCCAGGAUGUGAUGUAAUGGCAGGAAGAAGGUGUGUCUUGCUCUUUUCUGGUUCCUGUUUGCUGUUUGCAGCCGCCGUGAGCUGCGACCCAGCCAUGCCUGCCUGUUUUGGAGCCAACUGAGUGUGGACUGAAACCUCCAAAAACUGUAAGAAAUAAACCUUUCCUUUCCCAACUUGGGCAUCAGGUAUUUUGUCUCAGUGAGGAGCAUAAAGUAGCUAAGACAGCCAGUAUCUUAGUGAGGAUUUUUGCAACAAUGUUCAUUAGGGAAGUUGGCCUACAAUUCAUUUUCUUAGUUGGGUGCUUUUCUGGUUUUUGUAUCAGGGUAAUGCUUACUUCCAGGAAUGAAUUUGGGGGCAUUGCUUCUCUUUCAAUUUCAUUAAAGAGUUUAAGAAGCAGUGGUGUUAAAUAUUCACUAGAUUUCCUGUAGAAUUCAUCAGUGAAUUUAUCAGGGCCUGGACUUUUCUUUGUUGAUAGGUUUUCAAUUGUAUCUUUAAUUUCAUUUAUUGAUACUGGGUUAUUUAGAAUUUUUAUAUAUUCUUUAUUCUGCUUUGGCAAUUCAUAUAUAUCUAGGAAAUGCCCAUUUCUUCUAUAUUUUCCAUCUUGUUAGAAUACAAGUUUUCAAAGCAGGUAGAGAUGAUCUUCUGGAUUUCUGCAGGUUCUGUUGUGAUUUCACCCUUUUCAUUUCUAAUUGCAUAAAUGUGAGUCUUUUCUUUUUUUGAUAAGGUUGGCUAAGGACGUAUCAAUUUUAUUUAAUCUUUCAAAGAACCAGCUAUUCAAUUUAUUGAUGCUUUGUAUUGUUUUUUAGUCUCCAAGACAUUAAUUUCUACUGUGAUCUUUAUAAUUUCAUCCCUCAUACAAGAUUUUGGCUUAAUCUGCUUUUCACUUUCUAGAAGUUUGAAAUUCACCAGUAAGUUGUUUAAAUGCACUUGUUGUUUUCCUUAUAUGGGUAUUUACUGUUAUAAAUUUCCUUCUUAGGACUGUUUUCAUUGUGUUCCAUAGAGUACAGUAUGUUGUACUGUCAUCAUUUAUCUGUAAAAAUUGCCCAAUUUCUUCUUUAAUUCUUCUUUAAUUCUGUCUAACCCAUUGGUUUUUUAGGAUAGUAGUACUUAAUUUUCAUAUGUUUAUGAAGUUCUUGUGCUUUCUUUUGCCAUGUAUCCAAUUUCAAUGCAUUGUGGUCUGGUAGUAUGCACAGGAUAAUUUUAAUUCCUUUGCAUUUACCUAAGCAUAUUGUAUUUUGGAGAACAUCCUAUGUGCAGCUGAGAAGAAUGUGUAUUCUGAUGUUGUGGGGUCACACACUCUAUAGAUAUCUACUAGCUACAUUUGUUCAAAAGUUUGAUCCAGUUCUAAUAUUUCAUUAUUGAUUUUUUGUCUAGUUCAUCUGUUUUUGUGGUAGUGGGGUAUUAAUGUCUCCCAAUUCAAUUGUAUUAGGACUUAUUUGAUUUUUCAUGUUCAUUAGCAUUUGUUUUAUAUAGUUGGGUGCACUGGUAUUUGUUGUAUACAUAUUUAUGAUUCUUAUCUCUUCCUCUUGGAUCAUUCCCUUUAUGAGGAUGUAGUGACCUUCUUGGUCUCUCUUCAGUCUUGGUCUAAAAUUCACUUUUUCAGCAAAUAGAAUAGCUACCCCUAGUUUUUUUCUAGGUUUCUGUCACAUGGAGUAUUGUUUUCCAGCCUUUGAUUCUCAGUCUAUGAAUUUCUUUUUGCAUUAAAUGUGUUUCUUGUGUGCAGCAUAUUGUUGGAUCUGGCUUCUUGAUUCAUUCUGCCAGUCUGGGUCUUUUGAUUGAGAUCAUUAACGUUGAUGGUUAUAACCAUCAAUAUGUAUUGACUUGUCCAUGUCAUGAUUUUUCCUGUUGUUGGCUUCGCUCUUUUUCUCUUUCCUCUAAUUAUCUGCCUUGCAAUGGAUUCCUUCUGUUGAGGUUCAUGGGGCUGUAGUCCUUAUAAUCUCUUUCUGGAAUGUUCUUCAGAACAUUUUGGAGUGCUGAUUUGGUGGAUAAAUUUCCUCAGCUGUUAUUUGUCAUGUAAGUAUCUUAUUUCUACAUCAGUUUUGAAAGAUAGUUCUGCAAGGUGCAUCAGCUGGGGUUAAAAGUUGUUUUCCUUGAGGUGAGAGUUUCUGCUAAGAAGUCAGCUGUGAUUCUGAUGGACUUUCCUUUAUAGGUGACUUGUUUCUUUUCUCUCACAGCUUUUAAUAUUCUAUUUUUACAUUGAAUUUCUGGAAUUUUGACUAUGAUAUGCCUGGAUGUAGAUUUUUUUUGGUCAUAGCUAGUUAGAUUUCUAUAUGCUUCACUUACUUGUAUGUCAAAUUCUAUUUCUCUAUCAGGAAAGUUUUCCAUCAUGAUAGCUGUGAACAUUUUCUUGAUGUCAUUUGUGGUAUCUCCUGCUUUUUCAUUGAAUCCAAUCAAUCUUGUUAAUCUUCUUUGUCUCAUCUAGCAGCUGCUGAAUUGGUUUCUCAUGUUCCUUUGCUAGUUUUGAGAAGUCUUUCAUUUCCUGGUUACUCACUGCAAGCCUGUCUCCAAUAUCUGAGAUCCUGUCCUCACACUGGCCUAAUCAACUUCAAAUAUUUUCAAAGGAAUUUUUGUUCUCCUGGAUAUCUGUAUGAAUCUGUUUCUUGGGUUGCAUUUCUUUCAUUUUCUGAGUUUUCCUAAUUUUUUUGAGCUCAUCUAUUUUUUUUUUUGUUUGUUUGUUUAUAUCUGGUCUAGCACCACUAACCAUGUUCUUUAUUUUGGAUAUCAUCUCUGUAGUUAUCUGAGAGAUUAUUUCUGAUUUUAUUUUUCCUGAGCCUCAUUCAAUUGCUUUUUUGUUGUUACUUCAGAGAGGCCUGGUGGGAGGCUUUCUGAUCACCUCACCUUAUUACCCACUGGAUUUGCACUUAGCAAACUUGAUGUCUCUGGUUGCAUUUUGUUUAAGUGUCUGCUUGUUUUCUCUUAUUUCUUCCUUUCUUUUUUUAAGUUUCAUUCUGGGGGGAUGCUCAUAAAUUGCCUAUAGUAGGUUGUUUUAUUGCUGAUAUUUAGAAUCCUUAUGUGAUGACUACUCCUCAGAGGUAUCUUCUGGGUAUAGUUGGUUUUUGGGUUUUGAGUCUUUUAAAAGAUCUUAGCUCUUCAGUUUGUUGGAGAUGAGAAGUUGUUUUUUUGGCUCAGCCCCUGGUUCUUUGGCACUGUGCCACAGUAUUUUCUGUGACCCUUAGUCAAUUUUGGUUAUGGAAUACCAGGACCAACAGCUGUUUAGAACUAUUAAGCCAAUUUUGGCUGUAGUGGUACCAACAGCAUCACACAGCCUAGAAAAUAACAGACUGAGAUAACCCUUAAUUUGCCAUUUUAACUGUAUGAACUAGAUCUAUGGUUAUAUAACACAAUCUAAAACAAACCAGAAACUUAUAUGCAGUAUACAAUGAUAUGUCAAUUGGUAUGUCAAUUUUGCCCUUGGAGGUUAAAAUUUAAUAUAGUUUAAGGAGAAAACAGAGAACUGGAAGACAGGAAGAGAUUAAAAGUAAAGUGAGAGGGCCAAGGGAGAUCACACGAACUUUGGGAAGCUGGUGUAGAAGACUGAAGGGAAAGAAUGCAGCAAGAGGUGAAAAGGACAGAAUGGAGCCACAGGGAGGCUAGAAACCAUGUUCACACUUAUAUAAAAUAAGGCCAAACAUGGAAGAGAAAGAAAAAAAAACAAUAAGCAAACAAAAACUAAGAUUCAAAGACAAGCAUGAGAGAGCGGAGGGAGAAGACAGAAAAAAGUCUGCUUCCAGGUUUGUCCAGGUCUGUCGCUGGCAGACAAGCUGUGGAGACAGCCUUGAUCCGUGUAAGUCUGUCCCAGCACACCAGCAGCAGCUUUUUGGUGGGGUGGUGCACUUUCUGGUGGAGACCAGUUACAUUGGUUCGCCUUCUUUCCAGCACUUUCCAUGCAUCUGAGCCCUUCUGGGAGCCACUAGAGGGAGCCAGUUCUGAGUUCUGAUCUCAAGCUGCGCAUCUCCAAGAUGCCUCCAGGCCAGCUGUUUUCUCCUGCUGCAAGAAUGAGACCCCUGCAUUCCCCACUCCUGCAUUCACCACCAGUCAGUGCAGUCCUUCACGUCCUCAGCUCCCCUCCACAUCCACUGGUCCCCUCAGUGCUGCACCUCUCUGCAGAGGCCUCUAGGAUCACCAGCUGUCACCGUCACCAUGACUGUGCACCCACAGGAUCAACUAAGGUCCUGGACCCAAGGAGGAAGUGGCCCCAGCCUGGAAAAGCAGCACAGACCCAGAUGCGCUCUGGGCCCCAGCCUUGGCCCAUCUUGUUCUCCACAGUGAGCUCCAGUCCCACCUGCAGCUUCUGGAGCUGUGAGCCAAAGUAAACCUUAAAGGUAGCACAUGAAGAGCAGUGGUUCUCAACAACUGGGAGUGAUGCUGGCUCGCAGAGAACACUAGGCACAUCUAGAGGUGUGCUGUUGUCCUGGCUGUGGAGCGAAGGCACUGAGGCCCCCAUGUGUGGGUACCAGGGCUGGGGCUGUGCGAUCCCCACAGGAGACAAUCUUACAGCAAGAAUCACCUAAUGCAGUCACCAGCAGUGUGGGGUCGGAUACGUGUGUUCUACAGCAAGCUGAACCCUCAAGAAAUAUGAGAGCUGAAAAACCCUGUUAAAUGACACUGAGAUGCCAUCAUGAUCCACUUUCUUUAACAAACAAGUGGAAUAAAAAUGGGAGGGGGGGACACUUAAAUCGACCUUUUAGAGAAAAUAACAUGUGUGGACAUCACUUGAAUUCUGAUUCAAAAUGACUGUAAAGAAAAUUUUUGAGGUAUCAAGGGAAAUUCAGGCAUGGCUGUUAUUAGAUAAUACUAAGAAAAUUGCAUUAGAUGUGAUAUUAAUGUAGUUUAUUUUAUGAAACAUUAACUUUUUAUAAGUGAAUGAUACAAGAGAGGGGAUAUGCUUUUUUUAAAAAGCACUUCUCAAAGCACAGGGAGCCCCGAGACUCUUUGCAGGGAUUUAUGUUACGGUAUCCUUUACCUUGCUGACCACUUGACAUUGGACUGAUGGUGCAGAACAGUGAACGGCACUGCUGAUGUCUCUGCAGACACCAAAGUGGUCUCAGGGACCAUUCCAGCAGCCACGGACUCUACAGCACCACCUGGUUUGAGGAAGAAACAAAUUAAAAAUGAAAGGCAUCCCGCUGCACUGAAGCUUGCACUGCAGCAUCUUUUGCUCUUUCUCAAGGUGUGACAGCAGCACUUCACCUAAGGGUGGCUGUGGUCUCCAGAGGUAGCAGGUGUCUGUUUUUUGGGUUCAAGCAGAACCAGAUGUUUUUGCCAUGGAACAUGAUGUUUACUUGAAAAACUAACAGGUGAAUUAUGGUCAAUUCAGACUUGGGUAUUUUGGCAGGCAUUUUUUUCAAAAAUCCACAGUCAAGUGUUAUUUUAAAUAAAAUGAUGAACAAAAUUUGUGUCCAGUAAUAAAACUGAAGCUUUCAAAUGAAAAUUCAAAUUUGAUAAAAGAUGUAUUUGAGAGCUUGCCAUAAUAUAAAGGUGUUCUGAUGAGAUUUUCUACAUUAACAAAUAUAAUUUUUGCAUCUUGCAUCAUAAAUAGGCUGGCAUUUGGAAGGGCUGUAACCCCAGGCCAGCCAGAGUUUUCCAAGUGGCCAAUGCAUGAAGAAACAAAGUCAUGCACAGGUAAAAGAUCCCCGCAGAGUGCAGCAAAUACAAUGGAUUUUCAUAACAAAGUAUGAAACCUCCAAUGUCAUUUAGAUUCACUAUUGCAGAUGCCACCAAAUGAAGAGAAAGAGUUUACUGGGAAAUGUUCUGACAAAGUGGGAGUUUGGUUACUUUUCUCAUUACUGGGACAAAAUAUUUGACACUGACAAGUUAAAGAAAAAAGUUUACUUCAGCUCACAGUUUGUAGAGGUUUCAGUCCGUAGUGUGGGUUCCAAGGCCGGUGGCGUGGCACAAGGGCACUGCAGAGCAGAAACAGUCUAUGAAAGGGCAGGUGGGAGGGAGAAGGCAGUGGCGAGCCUGCCUCUUUCCGUUCCUUUGUGUUCCAUCGGCUCAAGCCUAUUGACUGGUGCCACCCACACCAGGGUGGGUCUUCGUCUUCAGUAAACAGCCAGUACUACGUAAUCCAGACGCUGCAUACCAUUAAUCCCUGUAUCAAAUGCUUAGACCCAAUUACCUUCCAAAAGUCCCACCACUGAGCUCAUGAGGCUUUGGAGAACAUCUAGAUACAAACCAUGAUGAUGCCCCAAAUGUCAAGUUCUCCUCCCCAAGACAGGUUCAGGGCUUUGAUAGGGCAGAGGACGAGGGUACGGGGCAGGGUGACUGGAGUCAGGAAAGUGAAGGGCGAGGUGGCCAGCACUGCCUGGCUCCUCACAUGCAUGGGCAGAGCGCACUUGGCUUCCUACAUCAAAAGGUCACCUGUGGGGCCCAAGUGAAGGCUCAGCAUUUUAACCGUUUGAGCUAGUUAAGGUGACUACUAAGUUUGUUACCACAGUCUCAUCAUGUACAGCAAAGCCAAUCAAGCCCGUGACUUUACUGCUGAUAUAAAUGACUGCUAAAAUCAGCCAUGGAACCAAUAACUAGCAGCCAGUGCUGCUGGAGGGUGUGUGCAGGUUUCCCCGAGGUUUCCAAACCAGCAAUUCAGAUACUGCUGCAUCAAAUCCAGUGUCAAGAAAAAAUAUCCACAAAUAUCUGAAAAGACAACUAAAUAUGUCUCAUUUUCCAGAUGCAUAUCUGUGCGAGGCCAGGUUUCUCUAUUUAUUUCAAACAACAAAUAGUAGCUAACAAUGCAGAAGGGGACAUUAAGAACCCAGUGUCUGUAUUUGACUAGACGUUGAAGAGAUUUGUAAAAGGUUAAACAGUGCCACUCUUUUUGUUUCGUAAAAUAUAGUUUUUAUUAAAAUAUGUCAUUUAUAUGAACAAGUAAUAGAUGUGUUAUUGUUAAACAUGUUAAAUAUUUUAAGGUUUCUCAGUUUUAUGAAUAUAAAAUCAUCAGCUUUCAUGAACAAAAGCUCUUCAGGGUCUCAUCAUUUUGUAAAACUGCAAAGGAAUGUUAAAACCAAAAUUUUUGAGAAAUCCUAAUUUAAAAUAGUCUAGAUGUAAAAUGAAACUAAACCAAGACAACCACAACCCAUGACAGGGAGAAGACAGGCACGACCAGCCCAAGCUGCAGUUUCAUGACAGCUCUGCAGAUUCACUGUGCUACUCUUUCUCCCGGGCAUGCUUUGUAUUUCUGAAAUAAAUCUUUU